UAAUCAUCAAGGACCCCCUCUCCUCUCAUGGGAGGGAAGGGGCCUUGGACUUGGACGCGCUGCCGGCCGGAGACGGUCGGCUCGUCCCAAACGCAUCAGCCUCCCAUCCCCUCGGCUUUUGGAGUGUUCUCACUCGGCGUGAUAAGAUCACCCGUCGAGGGCUCCCUUCCGCCGGACAUGGGGGAUCGGCUUCUAACCGUCCACGAGGACAAAUCACCUGACC
rnacentral:misc_RNA from 1 species